rnacentral:rRNA from 1 species
ACGUGUUACAAUGGGUGAUACAGAGGGCCGGCCGCUGGCAACAUCGGUCCAAUCCUUAAAGUCAUCCUCAGUUCGGACUGGGGUCUGCAACCCGACCCCACGAAGCUGGAUUCGCUAGUAACCGCGCAUCAGCCAUGGCGCGGUGAAUACGUUCCCGGGCCUUGUACACACCGCCCGUCAAGCCAUGAAAGCCGGGGGGCGCCUGAAGUCCCGUGACCGCGAGGGUCGGCCUAGGGUGAAACCGGUGAUUGGGGCUAAGUCGUAACAAGGUAAC